rnacentral:rRNA from 1 species
GACGAACGCUGGCGGCGUGCUUAACACAUGCAAGUCGAACGGAAAGGCCCUGCUUUUGUGGGGUGCUCGAGUGGCGAACGGGUGAGUAACACGUGAGUAACCUGCCCUUGACUUUGGGAUAACUUCAGGAAACUGGGGCUAAUACCGGAUAGGAGCUCCUGCUGCAUGGUGGGGGUUGGAAAGUUUCGGCGGUUGGGGAUGGACUCGCGGCUUAUCAGCUUGUUGGUGGGGUAGUGGCUUACCAAGGCUUUGACGGGUAGCCGGCCUGAGAGGGUGACCGGCCACAUUGGGACUGAGAUACGGCCCAGACUCCUACGGGAGGCAGCAGUGGGGAAUAUUGCACAAUGGGCGAAAGCCUGAUGCAGCAACGCCGCGUGCGGGAUGACGGCCUUCGGGUUGUAAACCGCUUUCGCCUGUGACGAAGCGUGAGUGACGGUAAUGGGUAAAGAAGCACCGGCUAACUACGUG